rnacentral:rRNA from 1 species
UGCAGUCGAACGAACUCUGGUAUUGAUUGGUGCGUUGCAUCAUGAUUUACAUUUGAGUGAGUGGCGAACUGGUGAGUAACACGUGGGAAACCUGCCCAGAAGCGGGGGAUAACACCUGGAAACAGAUGCUAAUACCGCAUAACAACUUGGACCGCAUGGUCCGAGCUUGAAAGAUGGCUUCGGCUAUCACUUUUGGAUGGUCCCGCGGCGUAUUAGCUAGAUGGUGGGGUAACGGCUCACCAUGGCAAUGAUACGUAGCCGACCUGAGAGGGUAAUCGGCCACAUUGGGACUGAGACACGGCCCAAACUCCUACGGGAGGCAGCAGUAGGGAAUCUUCCACAAUGGACGAAAGUCUGAUGGAGCAACGCCGCGUGAGUGAAGAAGGGUUUCGGCUCGUAAAACUCUGUUGUUAAAGAAGAACAUAUCUGAGAGUAACUGUUCAGGUAUUGACGGUAUUUAACCAGAAAGCCACGGCUAACUACGUGCCAGCAGCCGCGGUAAUACGUAGGUGGCAAGCGUUGUCCGGAUUUAUUGGGCGUAAAGCGAGCGCAGGCGGUUUUUUAAGUCUGAUGUGAAAGCCUUCGGCUCAACCGAAGAAGUGCAUCGGAAACUGGGAAACUUGAGUGCAGAAGAGGA